AUUGAUUGAUUGAUUGAUUGAUUGAUUGAUUGAUGCUGUUUCUCUGUGGCUCAGUGAAGAAACUUCCUGCUGGAAAAUAAAAUUCCUUCAUUCGUUUCGUUUCCUGUCGUCUGAUGAUCUGGAGUUUUAUUGAUCUGGAGUUUUAUUGAUCUGGAGUUUUAUUGAUCUGGAGUUUUAUUGAUUCUUUGAUAUUUGCUGUUGUGUUUGUGGAGACAACAGUAAUCAGAUGAGAUAUUGAUGAAUUAUCAAUGACUCCAGUAAAAGGAAUAUUUAUGUCUUCAGACUGAAGCUGCUCUUUUAUCUCGGGGAAGAAAGACGAGUAAAAACAUGAAGCUGUUUCUCUGCUGCCUGGUUUCUUCCAGCAGCUUCUUGAAUUCGAUGAAUUCUUCCUCUCCAGUUUGUCCAUCGCUCGUCUCUGCUGUUCCACUUCUUACUGGUUUUAAUGGGAAGUCUGGAGAGCCGCUCACUGCGCCGACAACGAGCCGAAACGCUGACAGAGUUCCAGUUAGUUUCUCCACUGUUGGCACGAUGAGCAAGUGCUAACAGAAAAGGUUCUGGGCUCAAAUCCCCACAGAACCAGGCAGAGCCGGGUCAGAACCAGAGAGCAGAACCAUACGGGUCGGGUUGCUUUAAUCUUGCCUCAGUAGAACUCCCUGUGGUCCGAUCAUUCAGGGAUGCUGACCCCUGACCCGAGAAGCUCCUGGCACCAGAACUCUGGACCUGCAGUCGAGGGUCAGGGGGCAUAGCUGCAAAGGAUGCUGGGUAAAAACCUUCCUAGGGUCAGCAAGAGGAGGCGACCCCAGCUACAGGCUGGCUGAGAGAAGAUGACCUUUCUAAGGGUUGAGACAUCCGAACCUGUAGGGUUGUUACUCAUUUCAGAAAUUCUGAUCCCAGAAGACACAGAAAACCCAAAAACCUAGAAGAGCCAGAACCAGAACCUGAGCUGAUCUGGAUGGGUCGGAGCUGAACUCUUCCUCACGAUGUUCUUUUAGUUUUCGUUCUCAUUAAACUGCGUCGGUUUCAUCAGUGUUAACCGCUGAGCCGCCAGACUGGAAAUGAAACGAUCCUCAUUACUCUGUAAUGUGAACAAUUGAAUUAAUGUGGAAAUGCUUCGGCCUCCAUCUGACCUUUUCUGUCUCACACGACAACAGGAACAUCAGCUGCAGCUUCUAGAAUAUUCUGUUUCCACUCAUACUCUCCUGUAUAAUUCACUAACAUCAUUAUGCAAAUGCUGCAGAGCUCCCUUUAUUUCAACAUUCUUAAGUAACAUUUCCAAUAAGUAAUUUCAGCUGAUUUAUAAAUGACUUAAAUGUUUAUGGUCUCUGCAUUUCAGGACAGAAACUGUGCAAAACAACUCUCCUAUUUGCAUAUUUCUCCGACUCAUCCUCUGCACACAAACUGAUGUAGAAACACUAAUUAUGUUUUGGCACUAAUCCCCCGGAGCUGCAGCUACUAUCCACAUGUGCAGUCACCAAUUACGCUGAAGUUGCUGCUGCAGAGCGAAGCCUCAGGCUGACUGCGGCUUCGCUCUGGGUCAGAGCAUCGUGAAGCACGCUAGAUCUAAGGCUAUAGAUCUAUAGAUCAGCCUCACAGACUGAAGAAAACGAGGCGUCUGGACUCAAGUUGGCCAUGAGUUCAGAUAAUAUUAUGUCACCACUUCAUUACCAGAUAAUGCAAUUUUUCAUCACAAUCUCCUCCUUUUAUUUUAAGAAAAUAGGUAAUAUUUCAUAUGAAUCACAUGUUGGUUUAAAGAAUACUGAAAAGCUGAAGAGUCCACAACAAACACAUAAACACAUGUAAAUAUUCUUUGCAGUGAAAAAACCGUAGACUGUGAUUCCAAUAACUACAUAAAAUUAAUUGAUAACAUUGAAAUGAUUCAUCUGCGGCGGCCUGAACGUUUCUGAUCUCGGUCCAGUUAAAGGUGAUUCCUCUUAUUUCCACCAAAUGUCUUCAGAAGUUAGGAUGGGGUUGAAACUGCUGGGACUCCAACAUGGCUGUCCACAUCAGUCUCACUUGUUUGGUUUAAUCUUGUCCACAUAAAUCGUCCAAAGUGUCUGAAUGACUGAAAAGGUUCAGCCUGAAUGAGUUUAUCUGCUCACCAAGCAGGCAGGACGAAGCUUUGGGACAUUCAGACUCUCUUAUCUCUGGCUCCUCUUGUCUCUGCGCCUCAACGCUGCUGCAAUAAAACCGGAACAAUCUGGGUUUCCCUCAGGAUCCUGAGGUCCAGGGGCCUCAUGCAUGAAGCAGCGUGCGCACAAAAAAUGUGCGGCGCCAUAUUUUACGCACAAGUCGGAAGGUAUAAAAGUGUCAACAUUUGUGUAAAUAUACACACACUUUUUCACAGCUAAAUUCAUUUGAUGUUUGAAGAACACAAAUCUAUUAGGAAGAAUCUGGUUGUUUCUCUUCGCUGGGUUGAUUCAGCUUCUUUCUCUCCAUGAUAUUCAACAGAAGUUUCUUCCAGAAAUAUAAAUAGGACAUUUGUCCUGAUUUAAAAGAUGUUGGUGAUGCUAUAAGCAUCUGAAUUUGCCCGUGUGACGGCAUCUUUGAUUAAAAAUAUAAAUUACCAAUAAGACCGGACACUGACCACCACAACUCUCCCCUUUUGGAAAUGCAGUGAGCCUCUCAGGGCCGAGUGUUAACAGAAAUAUCAGCUUCUGAUGCGGCGCAUGAGCAAAGUUUCAAAGGCAAUAAGCAACAAGGGCGAAGCCUUCAGCUAGACGGAGAGGAAAAUCAAUGUUUGAGAAGCGCUGCAGGCUGAGCAGCGGAUCGGAAACCAGGAAGGAAACAGUGUGCAGCGCAGCAGAGACUGUUUGCUUUAAACACGACCUGCUCUGCUGCAAACACUGAAAAUGGAACCAAAUCAAUUUUUAUCACCAGUCACAACAAGGAUGAUGGAGUUUCAGAGAGCCAGCCCCACCCUCACCUACAACAACGUCAGCACAAACCGUAGGAUGACAAGCAAUUACAGUCGUCUUUGUUCGCCCAAUCAGGUCUUAAUUAGCAUGAAAUAUGAUUACUGGAUAAAGACUGGAGAUGGUCCAGAUGAGAAAUGCUUCAGUGGAGAAAAUGUUUCACUUUCUGAGAUGUUGAGCAGCUCAGAUGUCUGCUGAUGUCCUGCUUCUGUUUGGGUUUCAUCUGUGUUUUUAUGUUGAUUAUUUCUUAUUUUCUUCAGCGUUUUCUCCCAGCUGUUCCCUUCAUUACUCAUUCAUGUGUCUGUGAUCUGAUCUGACUGUUCUCUGCUGGAUUAUUGCUGCUAUUAAUGUGUGUCUGCCUCCAUCCAGUUGCUCUUUGGGUCCACUUCAAUACCACCAAAUCAUGGCAACUGACUUAUUGAAUUUACAUCCUUUUCAGGCUGUUCAGUGGCAGAAGACGGAUAAAAACACCAAACGGAUACAAAGCAGGAGACUGACUGGCUCUUAAUGAUAUGUAACUUGUAUUUUAGUGGGAGCUCAGUGAUCCCCCAUUUCCCAUCAUGAAUCAUUUCGCUCAUAAUCACUGUAGUAAUGGGAAUAACAUUCAGAUUUUGGUUCUAAAUGAUGUGAGUCAUUGGUUUGUCUGUGGAAGAUUCUGGGAAAGGAUUCUGAUUUAAUGAGGGUGAAUCUCUGAACUUCUUCGCUUCAUCCGCAGCGUCCGUCCCUCUGCAGCUGAGGCCCGGCCUCUGUUGAAGCUUCAAAUGCUUCAAUCUGAUUUUACCCACUCGCUAGCGGCUGUCUCUGUCCCUCUGAUCUGUCCUCCUCUCAUUGUUUUCCACUUUCAAAUCUAAGCUGAAGAAGGAGGUUGGAUCAUAAUGAACGGAGACAUUCUGACGUCUUCCGACCCAGACGAUGCAGCAGCCAUGUUGUCUCUGCAUGUGGCUGUAGAGGGUGAAAACAAGUGGCGCUUGUCUCACUGGUGGCAUAGAGAAGUUUGGGCACACAGGAGAAGAAGAAACCUUCCGUUAGAUGCUAAUGAUGCUAAUGGAAGCUCAUGGUGUGUCUCAUCUUUUCUGUGUCGCAGUUUCAGAAAGACCAUCACUGUCUCCCUGCCCCACGGCUCUUCCUUCUGUCUGGCGGUGACAUCUGCUGCGCUCCUCCUGAGCGCUGCGCUGCGACCGCUGGAGGUCAGACCGACUAGGUGCAUAUAAUUGGUUUGGAACCUGCCUUUUUAACCAGCUCUUCCUUUGCGCUCUCAGCCAUGCUGCUUCACGCUGCUCUGUUUUGAUGCUGCCGGUUACGUCAUCAACAAGCUUUACCGCAGUUAGCCAGUAGACUGCAGAUCUCUAUUGCUUCUGCCAGAUAUCGUAAAUAUAUCCUAGCUGAUAUAUUAGUGUAUGUCCUAAUAUAUCUGAUAUUACUGAUAUAUCAGUUAUAUCGGAUAUUUCAGUGGCUGAUCCAUCCAUCCAUCGGUGGGUGGAUGGAUGGAUGGAUGGAUGGAUGGAUCUUUACUCUGCAGAGUUGGAGGAAUAAUUUUUGUAGCAUGUUUUUGUCUAGAAGCUAAAUGUUGAAUCUCUGUUUGCUGUUCAGUGAACUGGUAGCUGCUCCUCACUAAGGAGGACCUGGAAUGUGUCCAGAUGUUCUGCUGGGUGUCUUUGGUGCGGCGGGACGAGGCGACAAUCGUCCUAUUGCUGCCCCCUGCGGUUUCUGGACAGAACUGUUAUUUAUUGACUGUGAUGUGCCUCAUGUUUAUUUGCAUGACAUGCUAUAUUUUUGAUUUUUUAUCAUAUUAACUCGUCUCCCAGCUGAGAGGUGAAAGUCAGAGCAAAACACCGUUCUCUGGAUUCUGAACCGUAUGAAUAUGGAGAUGAGUGGAGUGUGUGGACCGACUCACCAACACCCCACUUAUUACCACCGGACAGAUUUAGGAGCACCGUGUGAAAUCCAGAAAUGUGGAACCUUGUGGAGGCAAAGCCAGAAGGCAGACCCGACCUGAACCUCCCAGAGAGUUUGGAUUUCACACAGAGACGCAAAUAGGAUCUGCCUCAACGCCAAUCCCAGAGAAAAGCCUUCAGCCAGAGGAAGACGUCCAUCAGAGCUCUCAUCCGGCGGACUGGGAGGCUGCAGGAACAGAUCUGGGUCAGGGUUGGUGUGUCAGAGGUGCAGCAUAUCUGCUCCUGCCAGGCUGGUCUGCAUGACUUUCACAAAUUUAGAUCUGAAAAUUCUUCAAAUUUUUAGUUAUUUUAAAUUUAGUCUUUCCUUUGAUGUCCUGUGAAGACAUCUUUCUGAUCAAAUGGUGCUUCUUAAAUCCACCCAGAGUGAAACUGGAGGAUCAAACAGCACCUGGUUCUGGUCCUGUGGGCCGGACUGCAGCCUUGUGGAAGAACUGGAUCCUCUGUCGCUGCUGCUCCCCCCGCUCAGCUUCCACCUGCAGCGGCGCUGACGAAGAGAAGAAAGAUGAGAGACAACAUUUAGAUUGUUCAGAAACAUACUAAAUGACCCUUCAUCAUCAUCAUCACUUCAGUCCUGGUCGAAGCCGCAGAAAUCAAACAUGUUGUUAGUUUGAUGUUUUGUUGGCAUGAAAAGGAUGAAAGUUAACAUUGCAGAGAAUGAAAAUGCUUCCACCUGCAGAGACGAUAUGGAAGCAACAGGAACGCCUGCUGGAGACUCUGUGGGUCCAACGGAGCCAAACCACUUCCAUGUUAUUGGGACUGCCAGGUAAUAAAACUAUAUUGGGAAAAGUUCCACAAACACAUUGAAAAUAUAUUUAAUGUAAAAAUUCCAUUCAAAUGUGAAUCUUUGUAUUUGGGCAACUUACAGUUGGACACAUGGACCAACAAAGACUAAAAACUGCUGGUUAUACUGGCAGCCAGUAAGAAAUCCAUCACCAGGAAAUGGCUUCAACCGGAUCCACCCACCAUCGACGAAUGGAUUGAAAUUGUUUACCAGAUUUAUCUUAUGGAAAAGAUUUAUUUUUCCCUCCAAGUUGAAAAAGGAAGUUUUAUAAGAUCUGGACCAAAUGGACUGAGUAUGUAAAACCAAUUAGAUCUGACUUCAUUUGACUGUACUUUGAAUUAUGUGUCCUGCACUUUUAUGUUCUUGUGGUUUUUAUUGAUGGAGAUGGUGCACUCCCCUUUAUUGUUCAAUUCUGUUCAUUUUUGUUAUCGUUCACAACAAAAAUUAGUAAUAGUCUCUAAAAGAAAAUACCAGAAAGGCAGUAUGGAUAAAAUCACUUGGACUCUCCGGUUGUAAACUCAUGUACGAUCUUAAAUGGGUAAAGCUGUAAUUAACGAAUAUGAUGGAAAUCUGUCUUUCUAAAUAAAAAAAUAAUUACA